rnacentral:rRNA from 1 species
AUUGAACGCUGGCGGCAGGCCUAACACAUGCAAGUCGAGCGAGCGGCGGACGGGUGAGUAAUGUAUGGGGACUGCCCGAUAGAGGGGGAUAACUACUGGAAACGGUAGCUAAUACCGCAUACUAUCGGAUAACCCAUAUGGGAUUAGCUAGUAGGUGAGGUAAUGGCUCACCUAGGCGACGCUCCCUAGCUGGUCUGAGAGGAUGAUCAGCCACAUUGGGACUGAGACACGGCCCCGACUCCUACGGAGGCAGCAUUGGGGAAUAUUGCCCAAUGGGCGAAAGCCUUAUGCAGUCAUGCCGCGUGUAUGAGGAAGGCCCUAGGGUUGUAAAGUGCUUUCAGUCGGGAGGCGUUACCGUCAGAAGAAGCACCGGCUAACUCCGUGCCAGCAGCCGCGGUAAUAC